rnacentral:rRNA from 1 species
GUGGGGAAUAUUGGGCAAUGGGGGAAACCCUGACCCAGCAACGCCGCGUGAAGGAAGAAGGUUUUCGGAUCGUAAACUUCUAUCCUUGGUGAAGAUAAUGACGGUAGCCAAGAAGGAAGCCCCGGCUAACUACGUGCCAGCAGCCGCGGUAAUACGUAGGGGGCAAGCGUUGUCCAGAAUGAUUGGGCGUAAAGGGCGCGUAGGCGGCCUGGUAAGUCUGGAGUGAAAGUCCUGCUUUUAAGGUGGGAAUUGCUUUGGAUACUGUCGGGCUUGAGUGCAGGAGAGGUAAGCGGAAUUCCCGGUGUAGCGGUGAAAUGCGUAGAGAUCGGGAGGAACACCAGUGGCGAAGGCGGCUUACUGGACUGUAACUGACGCUGAGGCGCGAAAGUGUGGGGAGCAAACAGGAUUAGAAACCCCUGUAGUCC